AUUGAACGCUGGCGGCAUGCUUUACACAUGCAAGUCGAACGGUAACAGGCCGCAAGGUGCUGACGAGUGGCGAACGGAUGAGUAAUGCAUCGGAACGUGCCCAGUCGUGGGGGAUAACGCUUCGAAAGAAGUGCUAAUACCGCAUACGUCCUGAGGGAGAAAGCGGGGGAUCUUCGGACCUCGCGCGAUUGGAGUGGCCGAUGUCAGAUUAGCUAGUUGGUGGGGUAAAGGCCUACCAAGGCAGCUAUCUGUAGCUGGGCUGAGAGGAUGAUUAGCCAGACUGGGACUGAGACACGGCCCAGACGCCUACGCGAGGCAGCAGUGGGGAAUUUUGGACAAUGGGGGCAACCCUGAUCCAGCCAUUCCGCGUGAGUGAAGAAGGCCUUCGGGUUGUAAAGCUCUUUCGGCAGGAACGAAACGGCGAGCUCUAACAUAGCUUGCUAAUGACGGUACCUGAAGAAGAAGCACCGGCUAACUACGUGCCAGCAGCCGCGGUAACAC
rnacentral:rRNA from 1 species